GUGCAUGUGGUGGAUGCCUUGGCGAUCACAGGCGAUGAAGGACGCGGUAGCCUGCGAAAAGCUUCGGGGAGCUGGCAAACGAGCAUUGAUCCGAAGAUGUCCGAAUGGGGAAACCCGGCCCGUAUGGGUCAUCGCAUGGCUGAAUACAUAGGCCAUGUGAAGCGAACGCGGUGAACUGAAACAUCUAAGUAACCGCAGGAAAAGAAAUCAACCGAGAUUCCCAAAGUAGUGGCGAGCGAAAUGGGAAGAGCCUGUACGUGAUAGUCGGCUUGAUAGAAGAACAGAUUGGAAACUCUGGCCAUAGCGGGUGAUAGCCCCGUAUUCGAAAUCAAGUUGGUGGUACUAAGCGUACGACAAGUAGGGCGGGACACGAGAAAUCCUGUCUGAAUAUGGGGGGACCAUCCUCCAAGGCUAAAUACUCGUAAUCGACCGAUAGUGAACAAGUACCGUGAGGGAAAGGCGAAAAGAACCCCGGGAGGGGAGUGAAAUAGAUCCUGAAACCGUGUGCAUACAAACAGUGGGAGCCUCGUAAGGGGUGACUGCGUACCUUUUGUAUAAUGGGUCAGCGACUUACAUUCAGUGGCGAGGUUAACCGAAUAGGGAAGCCGUAGAGAAAUCGAGUCCGAACAGGGCGCCAGUCGCUGGGUGUAGACCCGAAACCAGAUGAUCUAUCCAUGGCCAGGUUGAAGGUGCGGUAACACGCACUGGAGGACCGAACCCACUAAUGUUGAAAAAUUAGGGGAUGAGCUGUGGAUAGGGGUGAAAGGCUAAACAAAUCUGGAAAUAGCUGGUUCUCUCCGAAAACUAUUUAGGUAGUGCCUCAAGUAUCACCGACGGGGGUAGAGCACUGUUAUGGCUAGGGGGUCAUCGCGACUUACCAAACCAUUGCAAACUCCGAAUACCGUUGAGUGCGAGCUUGGGAGACAGACGUCGGGUGCUAACGUCCGGCGUCAAGAGGGAAACAACCCAGACCGCCAGCUAAGGUCCCAAAGAUUGGCUAAGUGGAAAACGAAGUGGGAAGGCUAAAACAGUCAGGAUGUUGGCUUAGAAGCAGCCAUCAUUUAAAGAAAGCGUAAUAGCUCACUGAUCGAGUCGUCCUGCGCGGAAGAUGUAACGGGGCUAAGCCAGUCACCGAAGCUGCGGAUAUGCGUAAGCAUAUGGUAGGAGAGCGUUCUGUAAGCCUGCGAAGGUGUCUUGUAAAGGAUGCUGGAGGUAUCAGAAGUGCGAAUGCUGACAUGAGUAGCGAUAAAGGGUGUGAAAAGCACCCUCGCCGAAAGCCCAAGGUUUCCUCGCGCAACGUUCAUCGGCGCAGGGUUAGUCGGUCCCUAAGGCGAGGCGGAAACGCGUAGUCGAUGGGAAUCUGGUUAAUAUUCCAGAACCGCUCGUGAUUGCGAUGGAGUGACGGAGAAGGCUAGGUGUACCGGGCGUUGGUUGUCCCGGGGAAAGGCGGUAGGUGGAUCCUUUAGGCAAAUCCGGAGGGUCAUACACCGAGCACCGAGACGAGUCCUUUUAGGACGAAGUCACUGACGCCACGCUUCCAGGAAAAGCCUCUAAGCUUCAGUCACACGAGACCGUACCGCAAACCGACACAGGUGGGCAGGUUGAAAAUACCAAGGCGCUUGAGAGAACUCAGGAGAAGGAACUCGGCAAAUUGAUACCGUAACUUCGGGAGAAGGUAUGCCCCGGUAGCUUGUAGUCGUACAGACGAAGGGCGAUGGGGCCGCAGAGAAUCGGUGGCUGCGACUGUUUAAUAAAAACACAGCACUCUGCAAACACGAAAGUGGACGUAUAGGGUGUGACGCCUGCCCGGUGCCGGAAGGUUAAUUGAUGGGGUGCAAGCUCUUGAUCGAAGCCCCGGUAAACGGCGGCCGUAACUAUAACGGUCCUAAGGUAGCGAAAUUCCUUGUCGGGUAAGUUCCGACCUGCACGAAUGGCGUAACGAUGGCGGCGCUGUCUCCACCCGAGACUCAGUGAAAUUGAAAUCGCUGUGAAGAUGCAGUGUAUCCGCGGCUAGACGGAAAGACCCCGUGAACCUUUACUAUAGCUUUGCACUGGACUUUGAAUUUGCUUGUGUAGGAUAGGUGGGAGGCUUUGAAGCGUGGACGCCAGUCUGCGUGGAGCCAACCUUGAAAUACCACCCUGGCAACUUUGAGGUUCUAACUCAGGUCCGUUAUCCGGAUCGAGGACAGUGUAUGGUGGGUAGUUUGACUGGGGCGGUCUCCUCCUAAAGAGUAACGGAGGAGUACGAAGGUGCGCUCAGACCGGUCGGAAAUCGGUCGUAGAGUAUAAAGGCAAAAGCGCGCUUGACUGCGAGACAGACACGUCGAGCAGGUACGAAAGUAGGUCUUAGUGAUCCGGUGGUUCUGUAUGGAAGGGCCAUCGCUCAACGGAUAAAAGGUACUCUGGGGAUAACAGGCUGAUACCGCCCAAGAGUUCAUAUCGACGGCGGUGUUUGGCACCUCGAUGUCGGCUCAUCUCAUCCUGGGGCUGUAGCCGGUCCCAAGGGU
rnacentral:rRNA from 1 species